AACGAACGCUGGCGGCAUGCCUAACACAUGCAAGUCGAACGAGACCUUCGGGUCUAGUGGCGCACGGGUGCGUGACGCGUGGGAACCUGCCCUUAGGUUCGGAAUAACUCCCCGAAAGGGGUGCUAAUACCGGAUAAUGUCUUCGGACCAAAGAUUUAUCGCCUUUGGAUGGGCCCGCGUUGGAUUAGCUAGUUGGUAGGGUAAAAGCCUACCAAGGCGACGAUCCAUAGCUGGUCUGAGAGGAUGAUCAGCCACACUGGGACUGAGACACGGCCCAGACUCCUACGGGAGGCAGCAGUGGGGAAUAUUGGACAAUGGGCGAAAGCCUGAUCCAGCAAUGCCGCGUGAGUGAUGAAGGCCUUAGGGUUGUAAAGCUCUUUUACCCGGGAUGAUAAUGACAGUACCGGGAGAAUAAGCUCCGGCUAACUCCGU
rnacentral:rRNA from 1 species